rnacentral:lncRNA from 1 species
GGACGGUGUGCCAUCUACAGGACACUGCGCGGCCGGCCGCGCUGCGCGCCCGCGGGCCCUCUCCGCCGCCCCCCGGAGACCCCGCGCAGCGCAGCGCGGCACCCCCCUACCCCCCCACACCCCCCUCCGCGCUACCUGCGCGCAAGCGGCCGCCGGCGAGUAACUGCGAGGCGGGACAGAGGUGGGCGCGCAGCGCUGCGCACAGACGCGCGGUGUGGCCCGUCCCAGGCUCGUUGUGCUCUCCAGAAAGGAACGAACGCUUGAUUAUGCUCCAGCCUUUCACAUCAACAGCUUGCAUACCAACGAGGGGGUGACUGAGCAGCCUCAGCUCCCCUGGACCUCCCGUUCCAGACUGCCCUGGGCACUGGCACUCGCUGCUCAGUCAAUUCCUUGUGGCAUUUGGAUCCUGGCACAAAGCAGAGGAGCUGCCCCAGGCCGUGGCUGUGCUGGUGAUGCCAGGUGAUGCUGAUGGAUUCAUCAGGAAGGGAAGGGCUUGCUCAGGUGGGUGUGAUAAUCCCAGCGAGGAUUUAUUGGGUGGAUCUUGCACAUUGAGGGCUUUUGGGGGUUGUUCCAG